rnacentral:rRNA from 1 species
AUUGAACGCUGGCGGAAUGCCUUACACAUGCAAGUCGAACGGCAGCACGGGUGCUUGCACCUGGUGGCGAGUGGCGAACGGGUGAGUAAUACAUCGGAACGUACCCAGUCGUGGGGGAUAACGUAGCGAAAGUUACGCUAAUACCGCAUACGUCCUGAGGGAGAAAGCGGGGUACCGUAAGGCCUCGCGCGAUUGGAGCGGCCGAUGGCGGAUUAGCUAGUUGGUGGGGUAAAGGCCUACCAAGGCGACGAUCCGUAGCGGGUCUGAGAGGACGGCCCGCCACACUGGAACUGAGACACGGUCCAGACUCCUACGGGAGGCAGCAGUGGGGAAUUUUGGACAAUGGGCGAAAGCCUGAUCCAGCCGUUCCGCGUGAGUGAAGAAGGCCUUCGGGUUGUAAAGCUCUUUCGGCAGGGAAGAAACGGCUUGGGAUAAUACCCCGGGCUAAUGACGGUACCUGAAGAAGAAGCACCGGCUAACUACGUGCCAGCCGCCGCCGUAA